AAGUCGUAACAAGGUUUCCGUAGGUGAACCUGCGGAAGGAUCAUUAUAGAGCGUGGGAGCUUCGGCCCCUAAUUCUACACCCCGUGCCUACCUACCUUCGUUGCUUUGGCGGGCCCUGGGGUUCGCUCCACGCCGACCCGGUGGCUUCGUUGCCUCGGCCAGUCCGUGCCCGCCAGAGGUCCAUUAAACCCCGUUUUAUCCGUGCCGUCCGAGUCAAAAACAUAAUAGUCAAAAACUUUCAACAACGGAUCUCUUGGUUCCAGCAUCGAUGAAGAACGCAGCGAAAUGCGAUAAGUAAUGUGAAUUGCAGAAUUCAGUGAAUCAUCGAAUCUUUGAACGCACAUUGCGCCCCUCGGUAUUCCGGGGGGCAUGCCUGUUCGAGCGUCAUUGCACCCCUCAAGCGUAGCUUGGUGUUGGGCCCUCGCCUCUCGAGGCGUGCCCGAAAAGCAGUGGGGGUCCGGCGAGACUUUAAGCGUAGUAAAUUUUCAUGUCGCUUCCAAGGCCUCGGGGUAACCCGUCCAUCAGCCCCCCCUUUCUCAAUAAUUGACCUCGGAUCAGGUAGGGAUACCCGCUGAACUUAA
rnacentral:rRNA from 1 species